CUCAGGAAAGAGCACCAGCGUUUACAUAACUACAUGAACCGUGAAUUCUACAAAUAAAUUCUUCCACAGGUUCCUUGUACCUUAUAACACAGUAGGUGAAUGUGACGUCAUAUGCAAAGUAGGGGGUGUGGCCAUGCAUAUGAGUGAGGCUGAACUAGAGUUUCUCCAGGAACCGUAUAUAGAUCAAGCUGAAAUAUGGCAUGGUGCAUCUAUGUGCAAAGGAGCCCUGGCUUUUUAAGUGAUUCCAGAGGACAUUUAUAAAUAAAUAAAUAAAUACCACUGAUAGGGGUGGUACAGGAGGCACACUUCUUAGCGUAAAGGUUGCAGAAACAGCCGAGGCAGUAAGGAAAGUCAUCACAAGAAGUAAAGCGCUGGCCAGCCAACUGCUCCUUGCAGCCUGUGCACAGGAAGCAAUCUUUAUGCCACGGCUGCUCAUGGCAUGAUGGUCUUCUUGCACUCAUGGCACUUAGAUGAAUACUCGCUGGCGUAGCACUCGGUGCAGAGCAUCUGCUCAUCCUUGGUGGAGAACGGUUUGUCCGCUAAGGAGCGUCUACACUUAAAGCACUGGAAGCAGUCGCUAUGCCAGUGGAGGUCCUUGUAGGAAAGAUCCUAUGUGGGACAAAACCAAACAGGUUGUUAAAUUUACAUAAUUGCUGAAGAUCUAAAGUAAAAGACUUUUUGUUAUUACA